rnacentral:lncRNA from 1 species
AGAAACUUAGUUCAUGAUGAAUAAUAAAAACAUAACCCAAAGAAAUUUAACCAUAGUAACAAUUCAAGAACAAAAAAAGAAGAAAAGAAAAGAAUAGAAAACUAAAUAUUGGUUUGAUCUUCAAUCUUUAAUAUUUCACAAUCUUUCUUACUUUCUUGGGUGCUUGGUGGCCACUUUUCUUUAGAGAAACCCUAGUUUAAACUUGUCUUUCAAUUACUUUAAAAGCGCCUUUAAAUAGCCUCUAAAAAGACCUGAUUUAAAUAAAGUUUGGAACAAAUUUCUUGAGAUAUUAGUGCGGCACCGUGGCCUCACUUUCUUGGUGCCGUGGUGCCACCUUUGCUGUCUCCAAUGUGCAUUAUACUACACUUAAUCAAGUUGUGACAUGAUUUUCUCAUAGAUUUGGGUUGAACUGGGCAAAGUGGUAAACAUGAUAGUUGUAGCUCUAUCUUUUAGCUUUCUAAUAACUGAAGAAUCACAUCAAUUGAACAAAUAGAAUGAGAAUUAUGUUCAAAAUACUGAAACAUAUAUGAGAGAAGCAUUGACCAUCUAUGCACUUUUCUUCACCAAUAGAAGCCUUUCCAUUUGUACAUCUACAAAUGCACAAAACUAAUUCAAUACUAACUAAACUAAAAGCAAUUGAAUUAUAAAACUAAAAUAAAACAACUUAAAUUAAAACAACUUGAAUUAAAACAACUUAACAUGAUUUAAACUAAACUAAGAAAAGCAACUAAACACACCUAACCCCAAACCUAUAUCUCAAGAACUUAACCAAUUUAAUACUCAAAAUAUAACAAAAUAACUCUAUGAAAUAGAGUUAUCAAUUGGACUUCUUGGCCAGAGGAAACCAAGGAGAGGACUUAGGUGCCAUGAGGAAGGAUCGAACCUCUAUAAAUCAUUGUGUUUGAAUUCUGUAUCUCUUUUUCUCUAUUUAGUUUCAAGGUAACUUGUUCUUAAAUUUCUAUAUAUAUUUCUUAGAUGUUAUUUUCUCAUAAAUAUUUAUUCAACUUUAAUUUUGAGAAAUAUGGACUCAAUCCAAUUCAACCUUUUUGGAUCACUUAUGGACACUUGAGUUAACAUAGUUGUUUAUUAUAUUUUUAAAUUGUCAUUUUAAAUAUUUUAUAUUAUAAAUAUUAAUAAGAUUUACUCCAUUUAUAAAUAAAAAUUCUAAUUCUAUUGAAAGACGUUUAUUAAAUGGAUUUAUUUGAUAAACAAAAAAGAGUUAAAGCUUAGAUUUUAAAUAUUUUUAUCUUCGAAGUUUUAAUUUCACAUUAAUGUUGAAAGUAAUAAAAUUUAUGUUAAUUUGACAUAUUUUGCUUAUUGGAUAAACUUUACAUGUUAAUGAAAAUUUUGAUUAAUAUAUACUUUAUUAGUUUUAGUUAGGCUUAAACUUUAAAAAAGGACCUUUAUUAUACUUGUAUAUUUAACUAAGCCCAUCACCUUUUAUUACAUUCAAACAAGCUCUGAAACUUUUAUUUUGAGCCAAACAAGCACUUAACCUUAAUAGAAAAUUAACUGCCGUUGAUCCAAUGCUAACUAGUAUUUUCUGCACAUAUGGCUUAAUGACAUGACCACAUGAACAAGACGAAAACCCAAAAUUGUCAAUUGUUGAUUAACACACUAGAAUCACCAAAAAAAAAAAACCACUCUUUGAUUCCUUUCCUUCUCCUAUUUCCUUUUUCUUGAAUGGGAUCAUAUAUUAUUAAAAAAAAACCACUCUUUGAUUCCUUUCCUUCUCCUAUUUCCUUUUUUUUGAAUGGCAUCAUAUAUUAUAAAAAUGACAGAGCCUCAUCAGCAGAUGAGAACUCUUCAAUACAAGGUGCCACAAAUAGUAACAGACAACAAAUUGAAAAAGUUCUCAAGACCAACAUAGGACAAAAAUAAAAGAAAGACAAAGACAAGAAAAACAGGUGAAAAGUCAUUGAGAGGAGAUAGAAAUAGCACCAGGGGAACCCAUAAGUUAAAAAAAAAAACACUCAGAAAACACCUAAAGUGUCACGACCCGGAACUCCCCUCGAGCCCGUGAUAAUUGCCGCGAUGUCCCGUUCGACACUCAUUACUUGGAAUGUCAACCGGAACCUGCAAGGUUUUAAUAUCAGUUUUUUAUUUCCCUUGUGAGUAACCGUUGCCAAAUAUCAUGUUCUAAAAGAUUUUAAACUAUUUUCAACUUAAAAUAAUAAAAAAAAUAAUUUUUGUCUCACAGGGUUAUUUUAGUUAUUUUUCCUUGAAAAUUUUGAAACCAGCUAAUAAUGUAGUAUACUGGUGCAAAACACAUAUUUCAUAAUCAAAAAUAAAUUUGGAUGUCUAAAACAUUCGUUUAAAAUGAAAUUAUGACUCUUAGAAUAAAAUAAAAAUAUUGAAUAAAAUAUUCAAUUUUCUCAUAAAACAAUAUUUUUAGAACACUACAUAAAUAAUUUUUACAACGUAAAAGCAAAAUAAAUUCAUAUAUAUCGUAAUACAGUAAGCUGGGGUAUUUAAUUUAAUUUACAAUAACCAGUGGGCCCCUGAAUAACUAAAAGUAAGGAAGACUGUGAACUUACAGUUUCGAGGAUGCAAAUCCAAUGGUAGCCUCGAUGAAAUCAGCUAUCUACAGCCUAUUCUGAACCUAAAAUGGAUGGAAAGGAGGGUGGUGAGAUUAUAUAAUCCCAGUGAGGAAAUAAAUACCAUCUAAAAUAUCUAAAACCGAGUAAAUAGAGACAGAUAAAAUAGUUUAACAUACAGUAAUUCAGCACCUUUCAACUUGUUUUAACCAAAUAAAAUCAAUUCAUAUAAAUCGAGUAAUCAACAUGGCUUAUGAAUUUCUUAAAACUUUGGCUCGUGCCAAAAUCAUUUUCAUGCCCAGUUAUCAAGGAUGCUUUGAUCAAGGGCUAUCCCAAUCGAGUCCGCCAAGGCUGUUAAAAAGUUAUGUACGCAUAAAUCGUGUUUUUAUUUUAAAAAUAUAGUCGUUCCUUGGCGUUAGCGGAGUUUAUCAUCAUGAGGUGGUUUGGCGUGAAGUGAACUCUAAAGUUAUACCUCAGGAGUUACCCUACUCGCCUCUCCAACCGAGGUAAGAUAUAAUGGGAUUCCGUGCCCCUUUAAUAGGCUGAUCCACAGAAAACCCGCCCACUGCAACAAGUUAAACCCACCAUAUAAUAAAAAUUCAACAGCAUUACAUGACAAUUAUUUUAUUUUACAGCCUUUCAAGGUAAAUCAACAAUUUAUGCAUUUCCAACACAUUUAUCAAAUCAACCAUUCAUGCCAAUAUUGCCAUAAGCCAAUCAAUUAGAAUCAUGAAUUUACAACACACAAAAACAGUCUCCAAUUACUCUAUUUUCAAACCAUCAUUCAAUUUUAAAACAAUUUUAUGAAAUCAUUUCAUUAAAUCACAUUUUGUCUAUAAAAUCGAAAAAAAAUUAAUCAUUUCAUUCAUUUUUCAUAAAAUUCACAAAAUCGAAUAAAACAUACUUUAGAUAAUUAAAACGAUAGUAAGGUUACUCACUAUUUCGGGAGUCAAAUUCCAAGUACUCCGAUUCUUGAUCCUUGGUACUAUCUCUUUACUUUUGCCAGAAUGCUCACCACCUAGACAUAAUGCACAAUAAGCCAUUUACUAUAUUGUGCUAAAUUGUUAUAAAACCAAUUCAGGCUUUAUACUAAUGUAUGAAAUGGGAUGCAAAUUGUUCGGAUUAUUGUCUAAACAUGGUGUUCUACACAAAUUCAAUUCCGUACCUACAUUAAACGGUAUUUGCCUAAUUCGAUCUAUCACUCGAUUAAUUGGCCAAUACGUUCAAUUCAACUCCAAAUAAUUUUAUUUUUCUCCCAAUACUCCAAAUCAUCAAAUACAAAUUAAAUAACUUGAAAUAUGGCAAAAUCAUCCUCACAUUUUCUCUUGAGAAAUUUGGCCAUGGUGGGUGCAUCAACACUAUAAUUUUUCCUACUUGAUUCUCACACCAUAAAUCACUAAUUCCUAACCAAAUCACUUGAAAUAAAAUCAAAAUCAUCCUCAAUAUUCCACAUGGAGAAUUCGGCCAACGAUAGGUGAUGGAAGAACAUGAAUUUUUCUUACUUGAUGUUCAUGCUACACAUCACUAACUAACUAAAAAUACUAAAAUAUCUUAAAAUCUAACCAAAUCAAGCAUCAAAACUUCUCUCUAAAUGUUCAGCCAGUAAGAUACCCAUCAUGAAAUCAUGUGAUUCAACCAUGGAAAAUGCAAAAUAAUGCAUGGGAAAGGUAGAUCACAAGUCAAAAUCAAGAAAUUUUACCUUUGAUUGCUUGAUUACUUGAAUUUUCACACUUUUCCCUUGAAUUUUUCCACCUAGGGUUUUUGUUCUUCUUUUCUUCCUUUGUUCUUACUAUGGCCGGCCAUGAGAAA